ensembl:misc_RNA Y_RNA Y RNA
GGUUGGUCCGAAGGUGGUAGUGGGUUAUCUCAAUUGAUUGUUCACAGUUAGUUACAGAUCGAACUCCUUGUUCUACUCUUUCCCCCUUCUCACUAUUGCACUUGACUAGUCUUUU